GAUGAACGCUGGCGGCGUGCCUAAUACAUGCAAGUCGAACGGAGAUUGUAGCAAUACGGUCUUAGUGGCGAACGGGUGAGUAACGCGUUGGUAACCUGCCCCGAAGCGUGGGAUAACGGUCCGAAAGGACCACUAAUACCACAUGUGAUCCCGAGGAAUAGAUACUUGGGAUGAAAGGAGCAAUUCGCUUCGGGAGGGACCUGCGUCCCAUCAGCUAGUUGGUAGGGUAACGGCCUACCAAGGCGAUGACGGGUAGGGGACCUGAGAGGGUGGCCCCCCACAAUGGAACUGAAACACGGUCCAUACACCUACGGGUGGCAGCAGUAGGGAAUAUUGGUUAAUGUGCGAAAGCGCGAACCAGCAACGCCGCGUGUGCGAUGAAGGCCUUCGGGUCGUAAGCACUUUUUGCAGGGAAGAGGAAGGACGGUACCGUGCAGAAUAAGUCUCGGCUAACUACGUG
rnacentral:rRNA from 1 species